GAUAUCUUGAAGUAGAGGACUGUUCUCUGACAAUCCUUCAAAUUAAAGACUGUCCUCUAAAUGGCCCUAAAUUGGAACAUAUGGUUCACCAUCAGUUUUAACUACAUCUUAGAACAUGCCAUGUGUCAGGGAGGGGGAAGCCUUAGAGCAAUCUUUGCAGAGAACUCCAUCAACUUCAAAAACCUGUCUCAUAGUUUAUGUAGGCGGUGGAAAGAGAAAGUGCUAAAUAUGCAUUCAGUUCUGUGAAUGCUCUUCACAGAACUUGCACUAAAAUACAUAUGCUAACUUACUGCAUAAAAUGUACAGUUCUCAAAGGUAUGUGAGCAUAGGUCUUAAUUUAUGCACUUCUCAGCUCCAAACUUGAAAUGCUUUCUCCAAGAGGACUUUUCCCUCAAGGCUGGACUCUUUGGAGGGACCCCAGAACUGCUUUUGAGAUAUUGUGAUGACUCAUGGGCCAUGUAGUCCCGUUCCUAGUACUAUUGUGGCAGAUGAAGAGGACAACUUGGGUUUCCCACCGUUUCAGCCAGAAUUGGAGCCCUUGCACCUGCAAGAUGUUUGCCCACAAGAAGUCAGCCAAACAAGCCUUGAGCAGAAAUCUCCCCCGUUUUCUCGCCGGGAUAAUUAUAAUCGAGAUAGAGGCGCUAGGGAGGCGAAUCGCAGAAGCGCCAGAAUUGCUGCCAGACAAUUAGCUGAUUAAGCCUGUUUCCCUUGGGAAAUCUUAAGGAGUCAUGCAUCUGGACACAGUAUGGGUUUCACUUCUUGUUCCCCAGGGAAAGUGUUCCUUGGCGGGAAAACAAGAUCCUAUAUAGGUGUUUAACCGCAAGGGGAUCCUUGCGGAGUCAAUUCGUCAGCUUCGGGAGCGAGAUCGUGUGUGGACUCGCUAUUCCAGUUCCUUGUUUCCAGGACCUUGUUCUUGUUCCAGCCCUGCCUUGUUUCCCCGGACCUUGCCACGGACCUCGCCACGGACCCUGUUCUCGUCUCUUGCUUCUUGUUGCCUUGAAUCAAGCCUUGUUUGCCAAGAAUCUAUUUUACUCUCCAGCCUUGUUGUCAAGCUCCAUUGGACUAAAGGACCUUGUCAUUUCCCCACACUUUGCUUGGCAAAGUGUGUGUUUCGGUUAUUGGAUUAUAACUUUGGACUCUAAUAUCUCAUAUUGGACAUUGUUUUCCUGGACUAUAUUUGACCUUUCCUGAAAGGUCUACUUCUGAACUAUAUUCUUCACUUGUUUUUAUUGACUUUAUAUAUUCCUUUAAUAAAGAUAUUAGAUAGA